rnacentral:rRNA from 1 species
AUUGAACGCUGGCGGCAUGCCUUACACAUGCAAGUCGAACGGCAGCACGGGUGCUUGCACCUGGUGGCGAGUGGCGAACGGGUGAGUAAUACAUCGGAACAUGUCCUGUAGUGGGGGAUAGCCCGGCGAAAGCCGGAUUAAUACCGCAUACGAUCUACGGAUGAAAGCGGGGGACCUUCGGGCCUCGCGCUAUAGGGUUGGCCGAUGGCUGAUUAGCUAGUUGGUGGGGUAAAGGCCUACCAAGGCGACGAUCAGUAGCUGGUCUGAGAGGACGACCAGCCACACUGGGACUGAGACACGGCCCAGACUCCUACGGGAGGCAGCAGUGGGGAAUUUUGGACAAUGGGCGAAAGCCUUAUCCAGCAAUGCCGCGUGUGUGAAGAAGGCCUUCGGGUUGUAAAGCACUUUUGUCCGGAAAGAAAUCCUUGGCUCUAAUACAGUCGGGGGAUGACGGUACCGGAAGAAUAAGCACCGGCUAACUACGUG